UUAAAAAUGUUAUCUAUACUUAAAAUUAUAUUUCAAGCUAUAUGAGUAAUUUAAUUUUUCCUGUAAAGCGAAUACAAAAAUUAAAUGUUUGAAUACCCCCCACGUAACAUUUUUAAACUUACGGUAUAGGCCCAACGCGAGUUCUACCGCCGGCAAGCAUAUAUCGGUUUACUGCUGGCAAAUGGCACUAGCCCAAUAUAUGCUAAACUGUCGGAAAUAAUUUUAUGCAACAUUCGCAUCGGCCGAGUGCAUGGUUUAAUGCCGGCAAAUCAUGUCGAUAUAGUAAUGGCAUUUAGUAUUGGCCCGACAUAUGCGAGACUGACAACUGAGUUUUAUUAAAUAUAACGGGCCGACCAAGUUUUAUUGAAUAAAAGGGCUACCAAAUGCUAUUAGUAAAACAGAAUUCAUAAACCGAAAGCGUGGCAAAUGGCAUAACUAAAUUUACACAAACUAAAUGGAGAAUAGUGGAAAGUCUUAUUCUACUAAGAGAAGAAAAAUUCUUAAAAAGGUUGCUACUCAUCUUACAAACAUAUUCGACCAUUCACAAAGUAAUAACAUUUUGAUUGAACAAAAUUUUACAAAAUGUACAACUGUUACAGAUAGUCAAAUCAAUACCUGUGAUACUAAUUUAGAUAAUGAUAUAUGUCUACCUAAUUUUGCCAUGAACAUUGCUGGAUUACAAAGUUAUACUAACACUGAUUACGAUUAUGUUGGUAUUUCCGAUUUUUCAUCUCCAUCAGACUUACAUUCUUCUUCAUGUUCUGAUAAUGAGAGCAAAGAGUCCUUUUCUGCAAUCGAAGAUUGUCUAUCAUCAGAUCUUGGUCAGUGGGCAUUAGGUAAUAAUAUUAAUAAUUUAGCUUUAAAAAAUCUUUUGAACAUAUUGCAUCCACUUCAUCCCAAUUUGCCAAAGGAUCCAAGAACUUUACUACACAUUAAAUCAGUUAGUAACGUCAACAACAUUACUAACCAUGUCAUUGUUUCGUGUACUAGUGGGGGCCAAUAUUAUCAUUUUGGCUUGAAAAAUUCAAUUCUUUAUCAGAUUACUACUGGACAUAUUAAACUUACUAAACAACAUACACUCCUCCAAGUACAAGUUCACAUCGAUGGACUAUCUAUAUACAAAAGCUCAAACUUCCAAUUCUGGCCGAUAUCAGGGAUAAUAUGUGAAUCAAAAUGUAAGUUACCAUUUAUCAUUGGACUUUAUGCAGGGCCGCAUAAACCACAAAAUAUUGACGAAUACAUGAAUGAUUUUGUAAAUGAGUUUUUACACCUUCAAAACAAUGGAUUUAACGUAAAUGAAAAACAUAUAAAGGUUAUCAUUUAUUGUGUUCUGUGUGAUGCACCUGCACGAGCCUUUGUCAAAUGCAUUAAAUCACAUAGUGGAUAUCAUUCGUGUGAAAAAUGUAACCAACGAGGUGUUUAUGAUUUUCAUAAAAUAAUAUUGCCAGAAAGUAAUGCUCCAUUGAGGACUGAUACUGCAUUCAAUGAAAACAUAGAUGAAGAUCAUCAUACAAGAGAUGCACCAUCACCAUUGCAAAAACUCAACCUGGGUUUAGUUAGUCAAUUUCCUCUUGACUACAUGCAUCUGAUUUGCCUUGGUGUUGUUCGAAGGUUGGUUUUGUCUUGGCUUUCAGGUAAUUUAAAAUGUCGUUUGCCUGCUGCGACUGUUCAAAAGCUUUCAAGUGCAUUAAUUAAUUUGCAAAUUUGUAUACCUAAUGAAUUUCAAAGAAAACCUCGUUCCUUAGAUGAAAUUAGGCGAUGGAAAGCUACAGAGUUCAGACAGUUUCUUAUUUAUACUGGGCCUGUUGUAUUAAAACAGUUUCUUGAUCCUGCUGUCUAUAAUCAUUUCAUGUUACUUUCAGUUGCUAUAUUUUGUCUAUGUCAUCCAACUUUAUGCAAGGAAUAUUGUGCAUAUGCUGAUAACUUACUAAAAUACUUUGUUAAACAUUCUCAGUUGUUAUAUGGACGCCAGUUUCUUGUGUACAAUGUGCAUUCUUUAAUUCAUUUAGCCUCAGAUGUUGAAAAGUAUGGCCCAUUGGACACAAUUAGUUGUUUUCCUUUUGAAAAUAGUUUACACAAGUUAAAAAAGUUGGUACGUUCAUCUCGUCUUCCUCUACAGCAAGUUGUCAACAGACUCAAAGAAAGAAAUAAUAGUUAUACACAGCCAAUUUGUAAUGAUUUUCCUAUUUGUAAAAAACUGCACUCCAAUGGUCCUAUUCCUGAAAAAUACAAUUCUGUUGAAGUUAAACAGUAUAUGGUGUUUCAUACUAGUUCAUUUAAGCUCUCUAUGUCUAAGUUGUGCGAUAGUUAUAUUAGCGUUAACAAUAUUUAUGGAAAAGUUAUGAAUCUUAUACAAGUAGAUGAAAAACUUUUUGUUGUUUUCAAUGGUUUUUGUGACUUAUCUGCUUUUUUUGAAUAUCCAAUUCCUUCUAGCCAUAUUGGCAUUUACAAAGCUACUAGGUUAUCAUAUACUCUAAGUGUUGCUCCGCUUUCCAGUGUAAAAAAAUGUAUAUGCUUAAUAAGUGGUUUUGAUUAUAUUCUUGUACCUCUUUUACAUAAUUAAAUAAAAAGAUUUGUAUUUAAUUUUACUAUAUAAACUACUAUGACUUGCAUACUCCACAUUUGUAUACACACACUUGUUGCGUACAUUCAAUUUUGUUUAUCAGAAACUUUUUUUAAUAUAUAUUUUAAAAAAACAUUUAUUUGAAUGUAAUAUUUGGAUACAAAUAUGUUUUUUUAUAUUUACUAAAAUAUAUAUAUAUAUAAUUUUUUAUAUUUGUAUUCAAUUUUCGAAUACAAAUAUUUUAUUUUUGUAUACAAGAUUUGAUGUUUAUAAUAUAUAAAAAUGUUUAAUGAAAAAUAUGGAUAGAUGAAUUAAAUUAGGCAAAUAUAAAACACUUGUCAACUAAUUUACACUUGUGUGUACACUUGUGUUCAGUGGUAACUGUUACCCUAUUCUUUUUAUACGUAUACAUAUAAGUAUAUUUUUAUAUUACAAUUUUAUAUUAUAUUUAUAUAAAGAAUUUAUAUCACAGUUAAAAGAUAUAAUUAAUAAAACUAUCAUGUCUUUAUGGUCUGUUGUGUUUUUUCCUGACAGCCGAAGUUGAAGUGGUGCCUACAAUUUGGAUUAACUGAGAAAAAGGCAUUGUUUAUUAUGAUUAUUUAUUAGCGUGUGAAAAAUCCAAAAAAGGUGAGCUUGUGUCUGAUCUUACAAGUUCUGGAUUAUCUGAAUCAGAGAAUCUUACAACUAAAAAUAGGAAAAGAACAAUAAAAUAUUUUGAAUUUGAAAGCAGUAGUUGUAGUGAGGAUAAUGAGUAUAGUAGCACUAACAAGAUUAGCA